rnacentral:rRNA from 1 species
CCUACGGGGGGCAGCAGUGAGGAAUAUUGGUCAAUGGGCGCGAGCCUGAACCAGCCAAGUAGCGUGAAUGAUGACUGCCCUACGGUUUGUAAACUUCUUUUAUAAAGGAAUAAAGUGAGGCACGUGCGCCUUUUUGUAUGUACUUUAUGAAUAAGGAUCGGCUAACUCCGUGCCAGCAGCCGCGGUAAUACGGAGGAGCCGAGCGUUAUUCGGAUUUAUUGGGCUUAAAGGGAGCGUAGAUGGGUUGUUAAGUUAGUUGUGAAAGUUUGAGGCUCAACCGUAAAAUUGCAAUUGUUACUGGCAGCCUUGAGUACAGGUGAGGUAGGCGGAAUUCGUGGUGUAGCGGUGAAAUGCUUAGAUAUCACGAAGAACUCCGAUUGCGAAGGCAGCUUACUAACCUGCCACUGACAUUGAUGCUCGAAAGUGUGGGUAUCAAACAGGAUUAGAUACCCCUGUAGUC